AGAGUUUGAUCCUGGCUCAGAUUGAACGCUGGCGGCAUGCCUUACACAUGCAAGUCGAACGGUAACAGCACUUCGGUGGCUGACGAGUGGCGAACGGGUGAGUAAUACAUCGGAACGUGCCCGAGAGUGGGGGAUAACGCAGCGAAAGCUGUGCUAAUACCGCAUACGAUCUACGGAUGAAAGCAGGGGACCGCAAGGCCUUGCGCUCACGGAGCGGCUGAUGGCAGAUUAGGUAGUUGGUGGGAUAAAAGCUUACCAAGCCGACGAUCUGUAGCUGGUCUGAGAGGACGACCAGCCACACUGGGACUGAGACACGGCCCAGACUCCUACGGGAGGCAGCAGUGGGGAAUUUUGGACAAUGGGCGAAAGCCUGAUCCAGCCAUGCCGCGUGCAGGAUGAAGGCCCUCGGGUUGUAGGACUGCUUUUGUACGGAACGAAAAGGUCUUUUCUAAUAAAGAAGGCUCAUGA
rnacentral:rRNA from 1 species